rnacentral:pre_miRNA from 1 species
UCCUAGAAAAACUGUAGUCUAACGUUUAAUCGUCUGUCUUAUUUAAAAAAAUUAUGAUUAGUAUUUUUAUUGUUAUUAGAUGAUAAAACAUAAAUAGUCUAAAUUUUUAUUUUUUAUAAAUUUUUCAAGUAAGAUAGGCGAUCAAAUAUUGAACACGGAAAUCCACAAUUGCACUUAAA